GAACAAGAGAAGCGAGAACAUUUCAGACUCAGUACCUGCACCACAAAAAAUUGGAGAGAGCAUGCCUAUGAAGGCCCGUAGUGUCCUAAAUGCGCUGACUAACCCUGAGGAGAUCCAGCACCGAUGAACCAGGAAGUAAACUGAAAGACGCCGAGGCUGUGGAACACGAGGCAACCGAUACAUCUGUGAGCAGGAUCAUAAGGAAAGCGGGUACAUCGCGUGCAGGAGAGUCCUCCAGCUAUAUUGCACUGCGGGUUUUACUCCAACUUGCGAAUGUGUCCGGGAAACCCUCAUAUGCAGAACCUGCCAAAGCGAUCACGUCUCACAUCAAGGAAGCUGUCGUCCCAUACUGAAGCGCUUACCAACUGCGCUCGAGGAAGCGGCGGCUACUGACUGAAGAGAAUUACCGGCAUUGCUCCUUUCCCGCAUCCAACAAAUCCGCUUCAGAUUCAGCGCCACCAGUCUAGCGGAGGGUUAACCGGCAUCUCCCCCAGCGCUCCUGAUCGAACAUCUACACACAGGGAGAUCCUUGACGAUCAGAUCAUCACUGAUCAUAUACGCAUCUGUUACAAGUUAAAGGGGUAAGCGAGGACUGUGCACUGCAGUCCUAAAACUUUACCUACCUUAUUGCACUAUCCGAAGUUUCUUUCCCUGUAGGCACCAUUCGUAAAGGAGGCUUGAUUAUCUCUAUCGUGUUGAGAACACUUAAUUGGCAUGAAUAUCACAAGGAGUUUGUGAGUA